GGAGGCUAACACCUGCAGUCGAGCGGGAUUAGAUAGCUUGCUAUCUAUGAGAGCGGCGCACGGGUGAGUAACGCGUAUGCAACCUACCUUUUACAGUGCGAAUAGCCCAGAGAAAUUUGGAUUAAUGCCCCAUGGUUCUGUAUUAUCGCAUGGUAUAACAGAUAAAGUUCCGACGGUAAAAGAUGGGCAUGCGUGACAUUAGUUUGUUGGUGAGGUAACGGCUCACCAAGACUACGAUGUCUAGGGGUUCUGAGAGGAUGAUCCCCCACACUGGUACUGAGACACGGACCAGACUCCUACGGGAGGCAGCAGUGAGGAAUAUUGGUCAAUGGGCGCAAGCCUGAACCAGCCAUCCCGCGUGAAGGAUGACUGCCCUAUGGGUUGUAAACUUCUUUUAUGUACCAAGAAUGUGUUCCUCGUGAGGGAUUUUGACGGUAGUACAUGAAUAAGCAUCGGCUAACUCCGUGCCAGCAGCCGCGGUAAUACGGAGGAUGCGAGCGUUAUCCGGAUUCAUUGGGUUUAAAGGGUGCGUAGGCGGCUUUAUAAGUCAGUGGUGAAAUCCUGCGGCUCA
rnacentral:rRNA from 1 species